rnacentral:rRNA from 1 species
GAUGAACGCUGGCGGCGUGCCUAAUACAUGCAAGUCGAGCGAACGGACGAGAAGCUUGCUUCUCUGAUGUUAGCGGCGGACGGGUGAGUAACACGUGGAUAACCUACCUAUAAGACUGGGAUAACUUCGGGAAACCGUAGCUAAUACCGGAUAAUAUUUUGAACCGCAUGGUUCAAAAGUGAAAGACGGUCUUGCUGUCACUUAUAGAUGGAUCCGCGCUGCAUUAGCUAGUUGGUAAGGUAACGGCUUACCAAGGCAACGAUGCAUAGCCGACCUGAGAGGGGGGUCGGCCACACGAGAAGUUGGACAGCGUCCCGACUCCUACGGGAGGCAGCAGUAGGGAAUCUUCCGCAAUGGGCGAAAGCCUGACGGAGCAACGCCGCGUGAGUGAUGAAGGUCUUCGGAUCGUAAAACUCUGUUAUUAGGGAAGAACAUAUGUGUAAGUAACUGUGCACAUCUUGACGGUACCUAAUCAGAAAGCCACGGCUAACUACGUG